rnacentral:rRNA from 1 species
GACGAACGCUGGCGGCGUGCUUAACACAUGCAAGUCGAACGGAAAGGCCCUGCUUUUGUGGGGUGCUCGAGUGGCGAACGGGUGAGUAACACGUGAGUAUCCUGCCCUUGACUUUGGGAUAACUUCAGGAAACUGGGGCUAAUACCGGAUAGGAGCUCCUGCUGCAGGGUGGGGGUUGGAAAGUUUCGGCGGUUGGGGAUGGACUCGCGGCUUAUCAGCUUGUUGGGUGGGUAGUGGCUUACCAAGGCUUUGACGGGUAGCCGGCCUGAGAGGGUGACCGGCGACAUUGGGACUGAGAUACGGCCCAGACUCCUACGGGAGGCAGCAGUGGGGAAUAUUGCACAAUGGGCGGAAGCCUGAUGCAGCAACGCCGCGUGCGGGAUGACGGCCUUCGGGUUGUAAACCGCUUUCGCCUGUGACGAAGCGUGAGUGACGGUAAUGGGCAAAGAAGCACCGGCUAACUACGUG